rnacentral:rRNA from 1 species
UACGUAGGACCCAAGCGUUAUCCGGAGUGACUGGGCGUAAAGAGUUGCGUAGGCGGUAAUUCAGGCAGAUAGUGAAAUUAUAUGGCUCAACCAUACUAACUAUUAUCUGAACUGGGUUACUCGAGAAUGGUAGAGGUAGCUGGAAUUUCUAGUGUAGGAGUGAAAUCCGUAGAUAUUAGAAGGAACACCAAUGGCGUAGGCAGGCUACUGGACCAUUUCUGACGCUAAGGCACGAAAGCGUGGGGAGCGAACCGG